GGCCAUGGGUCAAAGACAAAAUAGGGAAUGGGGACGACUAGUUACUGCGUGCGUGCUGUAUGCCAGUUAGUAUUCAAGGGGCUUUAUAUUUUAUUUCAUUUAAUCCUCCCCAUUCUGUGUACUGGGUAAGGAUUUCUAGCCCCAUUUGACAGUUAGGGAGACUGAGGCUCAAGUGGAGCAGGCACUCACCUCCCCUGGCCGCCCACUGGCCAAGGCACAGCUCACAGAAGCCCCUGGACAGGUCUGGAUGGCACACAUCACAGCCCUUCCUGGAAGUUCUGGGUGCCUACCCUUUAGGGUGCUCUGCGGUUCAAGUGGGCUGCUGUUUCCUUAUGGGCCCGCUAUCUGCACGGCCUCUGGCACAUAUUCACCACCACACACAGCAGGACUCCGCAGCGUGCCCUCGCCCGGGCUGCUGCCCUCCCAGCACCUAGGGCAGCUUUCUGGCCUCUCCCUGGAGCCCUACAGUCCAUCAAGCAGUGACUCAGUGUCAGGCAGGAUGAGAGCCAUCGUGCAGACAGCCCAGGGAGAGGCUGAAGGCCAAGGAAUUGCUCAGGGCUAUGUGCCAGUCAGUGACAGAGAGAAAGUCACAUCCUCUGACCCUAGGAUGACGUGGCUCUUGUGACAGACAAAGUGGCUCUGCCACUGCCUGCAAACAAAGGGGAAAAGGAAGUGGGGCAGAAGGAAGGGCAAAGACAGGGCUGAGGUGGGGUUUAGGAGGCAGGAGGCAAAAGUAUGGAAAGAGAACCCCAGGGCUGAAAUCCUGCUAUCAGCUUAUGGACUCUCAACCUUGGAGCUGGGGACCUCUCUAGAGACAGUGACCCCGAACUGCACGAGGGGGAUGUCUAGCUCACUUUCCAUCUGGCGGCACUCAAUAGAGAAAGAUGGAUGGAAGUGACGCCAGCAGCCUUUGACUCUGGGCUUUCCUGUUCCCUUCGGUUGGAAGCAAGCUCCUGAAUAAAGGUCGCUCCAGCAAUGAGCUCUUUUGUGGUUUUUCAGAAGCCACCCCCAGAGGGAUGCAAUCAGCAAAAUCCAAACUAUGGGAAACUGUGAAAUAAAUGACCUGGUUUCUUCAGCAAAAAUGCUGCAAGGAAGAAACAGGGCUGGAAGGGGAACUCUGAAGUAAGAAACUCCACUUUAUGCUAAGGAAACCAGGCUCAAAAGGCUGCAGCUACCUACUUCCUUUUGCAUGGCAUUCUGGAAAAGGCAAAACUACAGACAGGACUAAGAUGAGUGGCUACAGGCUGAUUCUAGAAGUUACAUGGCAAUGUCGAGAGCUCAAAAAAGCCAAGAGAAUCUUAGAACAAAGCCGGAGGACUUACCCUACCAGAUAUCAAGACAAGAGUAACUAUAAAAUUAUAGAAAAUAGAACAGUGUCGUAUUGGUGAAAGGGUAGAAAACAGACCAAUAGAACAGAACAAAGAAUUUAGAAAUCAACCCCCACAUGGACGGUCACCUGAUUUACAUCAACAGUGACAGCCAAGUACAGGGGUAAAAGAAGAACCUCCCGUGGCUGGUGCUGGGUCAGGUAGAUACCCAAAAGAGAAAGUGAAGUUUGAAGUGCCACACACCUUUGCCAAUGCCAAGACAAUUUCAGGGGGAUGGAAGACCCAAGGUUAAGAUCUACAGCAGUGAGGUGUGUACAAUAAAACAUAGAAGAACAUCUUUGUGACCUUCAGAUAAAUAAAGAUUUUGCACAGUGGACUCAGAGACAUUGAUUAUGAAAG